GGAGACUGCUAGCAAACCCCUUCCUAACAGGAACCAGAGCGGGAGCAGCAGAGCCGCGGAGCCCAGGAGCCCAGGAGCCCAGGGACAGGGGAACUGGUCUCCACUUCCCCAGCAUUCUGAGGGGGAGCGGGGACUUGACCGGAGUCUUUAGGAAGUUAACUUUCAUUGGCAUGGCUUCUCAUUCCCAGACACAGAGAGGGUCUCUUCAGAAGAUCCCUGAAUGAGGUGGCACCAUGAGACACCUUACUGGGCCAUCUAUGUCCAGUAUGGGGCAGGCAGCAGCCUGCUUGAUGU
rnacentral:lncRNA from 1 species